rnacentral:lncRNA from 1 species
GUUUCUGACACAAAAGGUAAAAGAUUUGAAGGUUGCUGUUCGAGAUCUCAAUUUCGAAUUUUAAUUAUUACAUAUUUUUAACUAAAUUUAUUUUUUUUAAAAAAUAAACAAAAUAGGUAGCAUAUUAUCUAUCUCUAAAAAAAAAGCAACAACAGCUACAUUAUAUAAAAUAAAAUACAUUGUAAAUAAAUUAAAUUGCGUUAAAUAAAAUUAUAAAAUGUUUAAUCACCGGCAUAUAAUAAUAAUAAUAAUAAUAUAUUAAAAUAAUAAUUGUAAAAUUUUAAUAUUUUUAUAUUAUAUAAAAAUGUUAUUUUGUUGAAUAUUAUGAAUUUAUGUGAAAUAAUUGGUAAAAAAAAGACCUUUUGAGAGAAAGGUAGGAUGCUACCCGCUUCAUUUAUUUUGGGUCUCGGAUACCAAUCAUCAAAAGCCCUUUUACCACUUGCGCUAGGGACGGUUAGUACUUCAUAAUGACUUUCAAUUGUAGCAAAACAUUUAUUAAAAAAAUUAAUUAAACUAAGUAAUAGUAGAUAUUAAAGUUUAGCUUAAAACUUAAAAUAUUAGGAUCAAAGUAAAAAAAAAAAAUCAUUGAAUAAAUCUGAAAGAAAGAAAACAAAAUAAACUAAUGAAAAAUAAAGAAAAUAAAGGAAUUUAUCGAUGAACAAUAAUAUUUAUACAUCGAAAAUAAGUAAGUUUUAUAUCUUUUUUAUUCAAAAAAUUAUUUUCAUACAAAUUGUAUAUUUAUUUUUUAUACUAAAAUUUUAUUAUUAUAAUUAUUUUGUUAGAGAUAGGUAACAUACUACUCGCUUUGUUUAUUUCAUUUAAAAACAAACUUAGUUGGAAAUGUGAAUUUUGAACUAGGGAUCUGGAGAACCAACAAGCACU